GCAUGCAUCACCUGGGAAGAGGUUUCCAUGGCAACUGCUUCCUGCCUCGGAUGUACCGGCAAGCCUUAGGAAGAAAACCUCAACGCCAUAGGGCAGAGGCAAGAAGGACCACUGUGGGGGGAAGCUGAAGCAAUGAAAUUCCCCAGGAGGUUCAAGCAGUCAGCUGCUACUUCAGCCUGGCGUCUAACUCAGCCUGGAGAGGGUGGAUUAAAAUGCCCAUCAUCCCCUGGCAGUGUGGCGAGUGGACCACCCAGCUGGUAAGCAUCUAAGGAAGGUUGAACCAUUCCUUGCAUUUUUCCCCCUUUCUCUCUGGAAAAAAAAAAAUGACUCAAAAGGAAAAGCAUAACCUGUGCCUUCUUUUGAACUAUUUCACUAGGGGAUCUUACUCAUUUUAUUUUUCUGCUUUUGGGAAGUUAUAAGUGCGAAGAUGACCAUUGCAAAGUGUACAGAUAGACCCCUGGAACUGCUGAAGGACCAAUGCUGAAGGACAUCGCUAAAAAAGCGUUAAGAGUUGUUAACCUAAUCUCGCGUAGCUUCUUCUCCAGUGAUAACAUUGUACUGCAAACUAGGGCAUACAAAACCUUUGCUAGACCAAUUCUCGAAUACAGCUCGUCUGCCUGGAACCCGCACUGCAUAUUGGACAUUAAUACAAUUGAGCGAGUCCAGAGAUAUUUCACAAGAAGAGUCCUCCACUCUUCUGCUCACAACUGAAUAUCUUAUGCCACCAGGCUUGAAAUUUUGGGCUUAGACAACUUUGAACUACGUCGCUUUCGGUCUGAUCUAAACGUAGUGCACAAAAUUAUCUGUACAUCGUCCUACCUGUCAAUGACUACUUCAGCUUCAACCGCAACAAUACACAAGCACACAAUAGAUACAAACUUAAAGUGAACCGCUCCAAACUCGAUUGCAGAAAAUACGACUUCAGCAACAGAGUGGUCAGUGCCUGGAAUGCACUACCUGACUCUGUGGUCUCAUCCCCAAACCCCAAAAACUUUAACCUUAGAUUGUCUACUGUUGACCUCACCCCAUUCCUCAGAGGUCUGUAAGGGGCGUGCAUAAGGGCACCAGCGUGCCUUCCGUCCCUGUCCUAAUGUUCCCUUUUAUUCAUAUCCAUUUCAUGUAUUCAUAAUCAUGUUUAUACUUAUAUCUGUUAUCUAAUAUACGCUUGACAAAUAAAUAAAAAUAAAUAAA